rnacentral:rRNA from 1 species
UAGUGGCGAACGGGUGAGUAACACGUGAGUAACCUGCCCUUGACUCUGGGAUAAGCCUGGGAAACUGGGUCUAAUACCGGAUAUGACUGCUCCGCGCAUGCGGUGGUGGUGGAAAGCUUUUGCGGUUUUGGAUGGACUCGCGGCCUAUCAGCUUGUUGGUGGGGUAAUGGCCUACCAAGGCGACGACGGGUAGCCGGCCUGAGAGGGUGACCGGCCACACUGGGACUGAGACACGGCCCAGACUCCUACGGGAGGCAGCAGUGGGGAAUAUUGCACAAUGGGCGAAAGCCUGAUGCAGCGACGCCGCGUGAGGGAUGACGGCCUUCGGGUUGUAAACCUCUUUCAGUAGGGAAGAAGCUUUCGGGUGACGGUACCUGCAGAAGAAGCGCCGGCUAACUACGUGCCAGCAGCCGCGGUAAUACGUAGGGCGCAAGCGUUAUCCGGAAUUAUUGGGCGUAAAGAGCUCGUAGGCGGUUUGUCGCGUCUGCUGUGAAAGACCGGGGCUCAACUCCGGUUCUGCAGUGGGUACGGGCAGACUAGAGUGAUGUAGGGGAGACUGGAAUUCCUGGUGUAGCGGUGAAAUGCGCAGAUAUCAGGAGGAACACCGAUGGCGAAGGCAGGUCUCUGGGCAUUAACUGACGCUGAGGAGCGAAAGCAUGGGGAGCGAACAGGAUUAGAUACCCUGGUAGUCCAUGCCGUAAACGUUGGGCACUAGGUGUGGGGGACAUUCCACGUUUUCCGCGCCGUAGCUAACGCAUUAAGUGCCCCGCCUGGGGAGUACGGCCGCAAGGCUAAAACUCAAAGGAAUUGACGGGGGCCCGCACAAGCGGCGGAGCAUGCGGAUUAAUUCGAUGCAACGCGAAGAACCUUACCAAGGCUUGACAUGGACUAGUAAAGCG